rnacentral:rRNA from 1 species
UGAGCGCUGAAGGUUGGUACUUGUACCGACUGGAUGAGCAGCGAACGGGUGAGUAACGCGUGGGGAAUCUGCCUUUGAGCGGGGGACAACAUUUGGAAACGAAUGCUAAUACCGCAUAAAAACUUUAAACACAAGUUUUAAGUUUGAAAGAUGCAAUUGCAUCACUCAAAGAUGAUCCCGCGUUGUAUUAGCUAGUUGGUGAGGUAAAGGCUCACCAAGGCGAUGAUACAUAGCCGACCUGAGAGGGUGAUCGGCCACAUUGGGACUGAGACACGGCCCAAACUCCUACGGGAGGCAGCAGUAGGGAAUCUUCGGCAAUGGACGAAAGUCUGACCGAGCAACGCCGCGUGAGUGAAGAAGGUUUUCGGAUCGUAAAACUCUGUUGGUAGAGAAGAACGUUGGUGAGAGUGGAAAGCUCAUCAAGUGACGGUAACUACCCAGAAAGGGACGGCUAACUACGUGCCAGCAGCCGCGGUAAUACGUAGGUCCCGAGCGUUGUCCGGAUUUAUUGGGCGUAAAGCGAGCGCAGGUGGUUUAUUAAGUCUGGUGUAAAAGGCAGUGGCUCAACCAUUGUAUGCAUUGGAAACUGGUAGACUUGAGUGCAGGAGAGGAGAGUGGAAUUCCAUGUGUAGCGGUGAAAUGCGUAGAUAUAUGGAGGAACACCGGUGGCGAAAGCGGCUCUCUGGCCUGUAACUGACACUGAGGCUCGAAAG